AAUAUAUCAUGUGUAAAAUAUUUACAUGGUUAACUUAGCCCAUUACAUACUCUUUUUAAUUCAUUAUUAUCACUGAUUUGUCCAAAAUUGUAAUAGUUCUUCCACUAAAAUAUUUAAAAGUAUGAUUGGAUUUCAUAGUUUCUCGUAAUCAUAACAGCUCUUUCACAGAUUUAGCUAAUAUUAGUCAGAAUAUAAAUAGUUAUGGAUUUAGAAGAAGUUCCUGUUCUUCGUCCUAGAAUGCCACCCCCUCAUUUGAUGAGAUCCAGGUUACCCGGUUUUCCUCCAAGACCAGUAAUGAUGAGAGGUUUACCACCAGGUUUUUUACCUAGGCCAUUUCGCCACCCUACACGUAUGAUGAGACAUCCAAUGAUGCCUAUAAUAGGUUCUAGAGGUAUGAUGCCUAGGAUAGCACCAAUGAGAAAUAUGCUAUUGCCUCCUCAUGUAUUACGUAGUAUACCACUACAUUUAAGACCAAGAUCUAUACCACCAGGGAUGAAAUUAAUAUCUUCUGAAGGUAAAAAUCAUGGCCCUCAUAAUGUUUCAAAUACAGAAAUUACAAUUGAUCGCAAUGGCACCAAUGAGUAUGAAAUAAAAGUGCAAUCAUCUGAAAAUUCAAAAAGUUCACAGCAAAAAUCAUCUCCUCCAUCAUUGUUAUCACAAACUUUCCCGAAGCCUCUUCUUCAAUCAAAUAAGGCUCGCAUUAUGAAGAAUAAUAGAGGUACCUCAAAUAAUAAUCAAUUAAAUGAUAUUGACCAAAUUACAACCAGUACCAGACAAUCUGGUAACACUAAUAUUAAACAAAAUAUGUCAAACAAAAGACCAUCAUUUCAACAGCAAGUUACCAAAAAGAUAAAAUCAAUGGAUAACAAUAGUUUUUAUCAACAAAAAGUUCGAAAUCAACCUAAUAGGCCAGUUAUGCGCAAUGAUCAAAAUUCAUUUAAUCGGCAAGAACAACCUAACCACAUUACACUUCAACAGGGACAACUUCAAUAUCAUAACCAAUCUCAAGCUUAUGAACAAUCACAGCAGGUAUAUACUCAAGGACAACAAUACAAUCAACAACAAAUGCAACCACAAGUUCCAUAUGAUCAGACACCACAGCAGUACAAUCAAACAUAUCAAAAUUAUGAUUCACAACAGCAACAACAAAUUUAUUGUCCACCUACCCAGCAGCAGUAUAGUAAUGCUCCACUACCACAAACCUAUCAACAGCAACCACAACAACCUAAUUCUUCAUACAACGUGGAGUACAAUAAGUGUAAUAAUCUACAAAAUUAUAAUCAAGUGGCAGUACAAUCUGCUCCACAACAAGUACAAAAUCAAUAUGAUUUCUCCCAAGCACAGCCUUAUAAUCAAACUACUCCUGGCUAUCAAAACCAAGUAAAUUAUGGAGAGACGUAUGGACAAUAUAACCAACAACAAAGUAAUUAUAAUUCAUAUCCAAGUCAACAAGCACAAUAUGAUGUAAGUUAUUCACAAAACACUAAUAAUCAGUCUGAUUCUUAUGGGGCUAACAAUACUUAUUCCAAACCAGAACAAAAUAAUUAUAGUGCAUAUAAUUAUGGAGCUUCACAGCCCUCAACGCAGUAUCAAAGUAAUACCAACAAUGUUUAUCAAACAGAUGCUAGCAGUUAUAAUCAAUCAAGUGCUGCCAUUUAUCCUAAAACUGAUACAGCUUACAAUUAUGGUAUAACAUACUAAUGACUAAAAUAUCAAAAUGAAUUUUAUUCUGGUAUCAGUGCAUCUCGUGUUCUUAUAAAUAACACAAAGAUGUGUUCUAGUUGAAGAAAUGGUUAAUGUAUGACUAUGAAGAUUUAAAAUGUUAAAAGUUGAAGAUCUUUGAUAUUACACUAUCGUAAAUUAUGAUAAAUGAAUGGCCAUUUAGAAUAAAAUUUCAUGGAGUUUUGGUAAAUAUUUUUAGAAUAUUGUGAUUUCAUUAUAUGAAUAAUUUUUCAUCCAUACAAUCAUGCAUUUGAAUGGUUUUUUGAUAGCCAAUAAAAAGCUCAAAUAUAUAUAUGUAUAAUCGAGUAUUAAUAUUUCUUAAUAGUAAUUAACAUUGCUAAUGAAAAAUCAGUUUUCAGUAUAAUUUUUUAAUUCAUUUUAACUUUGUGGUCU